rnacentral:rRNA from 1 species
GAUGAACGCUGGCGGCACGCUUAACACAUGCAAGUCGAACGAGGUCCAUGGAGCUUGCUCCGGAAGACCUAGUGGCGAACGGGUGCGUAACACGUGAGAAACCUGCCCUGGACUUCGGAAUAACAGUUGGAAACGACUGCUAAUGCCGAAUACCACCUUCACCCCGCAUGGGGAGAUGUUGAAAGGUCAGCCGGUUCAGGAGGGUCUCACGGCCUAUCAGCUUGUUGGAGAGGUAACGGCUCACCAAGGCAUCGACGGGUAGCUGGUCUGAGAGGAUGAUCAGCCACACUGGAACUGAGACACGGUCCAGACUCCUACGGGUGGCUG